UACAGAGGGGGCAAGCGUUAUUCGGAAUUAUUGGGCGUAAAGGGCGCGUAGGCGGCUUUUCAAGUGACGGGUGAAAUCCCUCGGCUUAACCGAGGAACUGCCUGUCAGACUGGAAGGCUUGAGACCGGGAGAGGUGAGAGGAAUUCCCAGUGUAGCGGUGAAAUGCGUAGAUAUUGGGAGGAACACCAGUGGCGAAGGCGGCUCACUGGACCGGAACUGACGCUGAGGCGCGAAAGCGUGGGGAGCAAACAGG
rnacentral:rRNA from 1 species